GCUGGGCAUGGUGGUGGGUGCCUGUAAUCCCAGCUACUCGGGAGGCUGAGGCAGGAGAAUCGCUUGAACCCAGGAGGCAGAGGCUGCAGUGAACUGAGAUCGCGCCAUUGCACUCCAGCCUGGGUGACAGAGUGAGACUCUGUCUCAA
rnacentral:sRNA from 1 species